rnacentral:sRNA from 1 species
AAUUCGCGUUAGGGAUUGAUGCGGCAUCCUUUUUAAAAACCUAACAAAUAUCCCGUCAUUACGAGGAGGCACGACGAAGUAAUCUGUUUGAACAAUGAGAUUGCUUCGCUAAACUUGCAGUGACGUUUAGACUUUGACGUUUUAAAAAGAUAUAGCGGAAAGCCCGACCCUUU